rnacentral:rRNA from 1 species
GAUGAACGCUAGCGGCAGGCCUAAUACAUGCAAGUCGGACGGGAUUCAGGAGCUUGCUUCUGAUGAGAGUGGCGCACGGGUGCGUAACACGUAUGUAACCUACCUUUAUCAGGGGGACAGCCUCUCGAAAGAGAGAUUAAGCCCGCAUAAAAUCACAGCACAGCAUUGUGUAAUGAUCAAAUAUUUAUAGGAUAAAGAUGGGCAUGCGGAACAUUAGCUAGAUGGCGGGGUAACGGCCCACCAUGGCGACGAUGUUUAGGGGAUCUGAGAGGAUGGCCCCCCACACUGGUACUGCGACACGGACCAGACUCCUACGGGAGGCAGCAGUAAGGAAUAUUGGUCAAUGGGCGGAAGCCUGAACCAGCCAUGCCGCGUGCAGGAAGACGGCCCUACGGGUUGUAAACUGCUUUUAUACGGGAAUAAACCCAGAUACGUGUAUCUGGCUGAAUGGACUGUAAGAAUAAGGAUCGGCUAACUCCGUG